AAGCAACUUAAAGAAGUCCAGACGAUUUUCUUUGCAAGCUCCUUUGACUGAUUCUGAGAGUGUUUUUGUCUCCAGAUUUUACAGUUUUCUCCUCUCAAGUAGUCCCACACAUUUCAGAAACACUGUGGAAACACCAUUCAAACGUUAACUGCAGAGUUGUGGUGAGACUGGAGCCUAUGCAGGUACCAGGAGGUGAACGGCAAGGUGCACCCUGGACAGGUUAGCAGUC